GAAACGUCGUUGGGCUACUACCCCCCGCUGUAGACUGUCGGUACCUGCAAGAAGUAAAGCACAGGCUCACUACGUGCCAGCAGCACGCAGGUAUACGUAGAGUGCGAUGCGUUAAUCUGAAUUACUGUGCGUAAAGCGCGCGCAGGCGGUUCGGACAGAUAGAUAUGAAAUCCCCAGAGCUCAACUUUGGAACUGCAUUUUUAACUACCCGGGCUAGAGUGUGUCAGAGGGAGGUGGAAUUCCGCGUGUAGCAGUGAAAUGCGUAUAUAUGCGGAGGAACACCGAUAGGGAAGGCACCCUCUCGGGAUAACACUGUCGCUCAUGCACGAAAGCGUGGGGAGCAAACAGGAUUAGAUACCCUGGUAGUGCACGCCCUAAACGAUGUCAACUAGAUGUUGGGGCCUUCGGGCCUUGGUAGCGCAGCUAACGCGUGAAGUUGACCGCCUGGGGAGUACGGUCGCAAGAUUAAAACUCAAAGGAAUUGACGGGGACCCGCACAAGCGGUGGAUGAUGUGGAUUAAUUUGAUGCAACGCGAAAAACCUUACCUUCCCCUUACACGUCUGGAAUGCCGAAGAGAUUUGGCAGUGCUCGCAAGAGAACCGGAACACAGGUGCUGCAUGGCCGUCUUCAGCUCUUGUCUUGAGAUGUUGGGUUAAGUCCCGCAACGAGCGCAACCCUUUUCUUUAGUUGGUACGAAAGGGCACUCUAAUGAGACUGCCGGUGACAAACCGGAGGAAGGUGGGGAUGACGUCAAGUCCUCAUGGCCCUUAUGGGUAGGGCUUCACACGUCAUACAAUGGUCGGGACAGAGGGUCGCCAACCCGCGAGGGGGAGCCAAUCCCAGAAACCCGAUCGUAGUCCGGAUCGCAGUCUGCAACUCGACUGCGUGAAGUGGGAAUCGCUAGUAAUCGCGGAUCAGCAUGUCGCGGUGAAUACGUUCCCGGGUCUUGUACACACCACCCCUCACACCAUGGGAGUGGGUUUUUCCAGAAGUAGUUAGCCUAACUGCAAGGGGGGCGGUAUCCCCGAGAGUUUCCGGGGU
rnacentral:rRNA from 1 species